CCUACGGGAGGCAGCAGUGAGGAAUAUUGGUCAAUGGACGGAAGUCUGAACCAGCCAUGCCGCGUGCAGGAAGACGGCUCUAUGAGUUGUAAACUGCUUUUGUACGAGGGUAAACCCAAAUACGUGUAUCCAUCUGAAAGUACCGUACGAAUAAGGAUCGGCUAACUCCGUGCCAGCAGCCGCGGUAAUACGGAGGAUCCAAGCGUUAUCCGGAUUUAUUGGGUUUAAAGGGUGCGUAGGCGGACGGAUAAGUUAGAGGUGAAAUGCCGGGGCUCAACUUGGGAAUUGCCUCUGAUACUGGUCGGCUAGAGAGUAGAUGCGGUAGGCGGAAUGUAUGGUGUAGCGGUGAAAUGCUUAGAGAUCAUACAGAACACCGAUUGCGAAGGCAGCUUACCAAGCUACGUCUGACGUUGAGGCACGAAAGCGUGGGGAGCAAACAGGAUUAGAUACCCCUGUAGUC
rnacentral:rRNA from 1 species